AUUGAACGCUGGCGGCAGGCCUAACACAUGCAAGUCGAACGAGGCGCGGACGGGAGAGAAAUGUCUGGGAAAGCGCGAGAGGGGGGGGGAACACUACUGGACACGGUAGCUAACACCGCAUACCAUGAGGAGUGCCCAGAUGGGAUGAGCUUGUGGGUGGGGUAACGGCUCACCAAGGCGACGAUCCCUAGCUGGUCUGAGAGGAUGACCAGCCACACUGGAACUGAGACACGGUCCAGACUCCUACGGGAGGCAGCAGUGGGGAAUAUUGCACAAUGGGCGCAAGCCUGAUGCAGCCAUGUCGCGUGUAUGAAGAAGGCCUUCGGGUUGUAAAGUACUUUCAGCGGGGAGGCGUUACCCACAGAAGAAGCACCGGCUAGCUCCGUGCCAGCCGCCGCGGUAAUUC
rnacentral:rRNA from 1 species